rnacentral:rRNA from 1 species
AGUGAACGCUGGCGGCGUGCUUAACACAUGCAAGUCGAACGGAUCAAAGUAGCUUGCUAUUUUGGUUAGUGGCGCACGGGUGAGUAAUGUAUAGCUAACCUGCCCUUUAGUGGGGGACAACAGUUGGAAACGACUGCUAAUACCCCAUACUCCUUCUUAUCAUAAGGUGAGUUGGGAAAGAUUUAUUGCUAAAGGAUGGGGCUUUAUUGUAUCAGCUAGUUGGUGGGGUAACGGCCUACCAAGGCGAUGACGCAUACCUGGUCUGAGAGGAUGAUCAGGCACACUGGAACUGAGACACGGUCCAGACUCCUACGGGAGGCAGCAGUGGGGAAUAUUGCACAAUGGAGGAAACUCUGAUGCAGCAACGCCGCGUGGAGGAUGACGCAUUUCGGUGUGUAAACUCCUUUUAUAAGGGAAGAUAAUGACGGUACCUUAUGAAUAAGCACCGGCCUAACUCCGUGCCAGCAGCCGCGGUAA